AAUAGAUACCCAGGUAGUCCACGCCGUAAACGGUGGGCACUAGGUGUGGGCGACAUUCCACGUCGUCCGUGCCGCAGCUAACGCAUUAAGUGCCCCGCCUGGGGAGUACGGCCGCAAGGCUAAAACUCAAAGGGAAUUGACGGGGGCCCGCACAAGCGGCGGAGCAUGUGGCUUAAUUCGACGCAACGCGAAGAACCUUACCAAGGCUUGACAUACACCGGAAACGUCCAGAGAUGGGCGCCCCCUUGUGGUCGGUGUACAGGUGGUGCAUGGCUAUCGUCAGCUCGUGUCGUGAGAUGUUGGGUUAAGUCCCGCAACGAGCGCAACCCUUGUCCCGUGUUGCCAGCAGGCCCUUGUGGUGCUGGGGACUCACGGGAGACCGCCGGGGUCAACGUCGGAGGAAGGUGGGGACGACGUCAAGUCAUCAUGCCCCGUUAUGUCUUGGGCUGCACACGUGCUACAAUGGCCGGUACAAUGAGCUGCGAUACCGCGAGGUGGAGCGAAUCUACAAAACGCCGGUCUCAGUUCGGAUUGGGU
rnacentral:rRNA from 1 species